AGUUAAUUAGCUAUGAAGCAAUAUGUUUUGAAAACAUAAGAUAGAAGUUAAAUUCUUCUAUUAACUU
rnacentral:tRNA from 2 species